UUUGCCGGCUUCCGCGUGGUGCGCCGCUGCUGCCGGCGCGUGCUUCCUGCUGCGGCCGCUGCCGGCGACAAAGACUGACCCGUGUGGAUUUAGUGGUCCUCGUUCGCUUUCGGUUUGCGAGGGGGACCCGAGGGCGCCGCGCGCGCCGCCUGUCCUCUCCGCCGUGUCUCGCUCGCCGGCGACCCGCACUGCAGUGCCCCGCUCCGCUCUUCCAUCCCCCACGCGCCGCACGUCCCGCACCCGCUCCCCUCUCUAUUCUCCUUCUCUCCACGGUUCCUCUCCUCACCACGAAUCCCAUCAACGCCUCGCGGAGCGUCGGCCGCCCCGUUGUGCCAUCAACGCGCGUGCCCCUCGCCACUCGCCAGGAGACAUGGCCUACAGAGCACGAGCGGCAAAUACCCAAGCCACCAGCCUGCUAUAGUGCUAUGCACUCUAACCCGCUCCAGUCUUGCUUCUCCUUUCAAGCAUGAGCAUGAGUAAGCGUCCAGCUACAAUCCACUGGAGCAUGACGCCAAUCUUACCAUCAAUGGCAUCCUCCAGGGAUGAGACUAAAAGGCCAUAAACAGGCAGGGACAGACACAGAGCGAGGCAACAACUUUCCUGCGACAAGUGAUUCUCAGACCAAUCCAGCUCAUACAGUCCACAUCGUACCAUCAUAAACCUAUGUAACAUAUAUGUACUAAUCGCAAAUGACUUAGUUGGUCUAACCACAAUUUUUAUUGUAAUAUAUCACUACUAUUAUCCUACUUCCAUUAUCAUUACAACCGCUUCCCUAAGCCUUGUGGCCACCCGCGCGCCUGCAAAACACUAGUGGUUAAAAUUCACAACCAGAAUGAACAAUAAAGAACUGACAAAACUGAUUUUCUUAUUUGAUGUUAACCUUACAUUACAAUCCUCUGUCACCAACUAACCACUAGCUAUAAAUACACGCAAA